rnacentral:rRNA from 1 species
UGGGGAAUUUUGGACAAUGGGCGAAAGCCUGAUCCAGCAAUGCCGCGUGUGUGAAGAAGGCCUUCGGGUUGUAAAGCACUUUUGUCCGGAAAGAAAUCCUUGGCUCUAAUACAGUCGGGGGAUGACGGUACCGGAAGAAUAAGCACCGGCUAACUACGUGCCAGCAGCCGCGGUAAUACGUAGGGUGCAAGCGUUAAUCGGAAUUACUGGGCGUAAAGCGUGCGCAGGCGGUUUGCUAAGACCGAUGUGAAAUCCCCGGGCUCAACCUGGGAACUGCAUUGGUGACUGGCAGGCUAGAGUAUGGCAGAGGGGGGUAGAAUUCCACGUGUAGCAGUGAAAUGCGUAGAGAUGUGGAGGAAUACCGAUGGCGAAGGCAGCCCCCUGGGCCAAUGCUGACGCUCAUGCACGAAAGCGUGGGGAGCAAACAGGAUUAGAUACCCUGGUAGUCCACGCCCUAAACGAUGUCAACUAGUUGUUGGGGAUUCAUUUCCUUAGUAACGUAGCUAACGCGUGAAGUUGACCGCCUGGGGAGUAC